rnacentral:lncRNA from 1 species
AAAUUAAUAGCAAACACACAAAUUAACAAGAUACAUAAGAUGAGAAAAGAAGAAGAAAACAAAUUAAUAGAUAAUAUUUCUAGGUCACACUAUAGAAGUCACUAAAAAAAGCUACAUAAAAUCCAAAGACAUAAAAUCCUUGUUAGUUACCGCCUUAAAAUAAAAACAAUUUUUAUGGUCCAUGAAAAUUUCUCAAACUACACCACAGCCAUAGGAGGUUGUGACCUUUACAUAGUUGGCUGUUAUGGUUACAAGUAGACACGCAUGCACACUUGCAUCCACUUGCUCACAAAUAAGCUCUUGCUUCGGAUGAUAUUAUUAUUCAACCACAAAAUUUUGAAACUUCGGCAGAUAAAUUAGCAUACUUCCUCGUUGUCUCAUAUAACUGUCGCUUAAGACCAUACAUCUUUUGUUUUUUAAUAUAUUAAUUUUCAAGAUAAAACAAUGGGUAAAAUGAUCGAUCCAUUUAAUACUUGUAAUUAUUAUCAUUAUUCAUGCCUGCAAUACAAGUGUUUUAAUAAAUAAAGAAAAUAUUAUAAAAAUAAGCA